rnacentral:rRNA from 1 species
CGCGCAGGCGGCCAGGUCAGUCGAAUGUGAAAGCCCCCGGCUCAACUGGGGAAGGUCGUUCGAUACUGCCUGGCUUGAAGAUAGGAGAGGGAAGUGGAAUUUCAGGUGUAGUGGCGAAAUGCGUAGAUAUCUGAAGGAACACCAGUGGCGAAGGCGACUUUCUGGCCUAUUCUUGACGCUGAGGCGCGAAAGCUAGGGGAGCGAACG